GAAGCAUCAAUGCAGAGACAAGAAGGCUGCAAUUGGCUCAGCACUUCCAGAAAUGUGGCCUGUCCCUGCUCGUCAGGAGGCUGGAACAGGAGCUCCUGCCAAGCUCUGUACAAUCAGUAAGUUUCCACUCUCUAGCUGCAUGAGCACACAUUUUUGUCUCCAGGAGGAAUGUGAGAUCAUCAUGUGAACAGGAGUGGUGCAGAGUCCAAAGGGCUCCGAGGAGGACAGCCACAGAUACUGAUGAAAACAGUGUAUCUAGAGAACUUGAAAACAUCCCUGACAGCAAAAGGACUUUGUUUAUUAAGAUAAAUACAAGAAAGAGACCUGCUGUCAAUUACAACAGCUCCAGUUCCAGGUCAUGGAAGCACUUAGCACCGAAUCACUUUUCUGAAUCCAGCUGGUUUUAUCUGAAAGUAAAUGCCAAGAAAAGAGGAUAAGCAAUAUAUCAGGAAAUUAUUAUGGCAGCCACCGCAGUCUUUCUUGAAAGAGCUGUAGUUUUUUAAUAUCCUGCACUGUGGUACCUGUAGGAGUAAGAAGCUUUCAGCAAUACCAGACAUAAAGUCUUGCCCAGCAGAAUUAGUCUUGUAGUAGAUGGCUCAGCUGAACUGCCCUAUGGCAUGUGUGGAAAUAUAUGUGGUCCCAUCCAUCUCAUAGCUGGCUCUGCCUUCCUGCAAAAUUAUUGUGCAGUAUCCAAUGCAAGAAAUCACCAUCAACCAGCAGAGAGUGUUGCAUUCUGGCUUUUCUAACAAGGUUCCUGUAAAUCUUCUGAACUAUGGCAAGCUGAACACGUGUUGUUGAGCAGAACACAACCCCAUAAAGAGGCACUUCUCUCCUCUGCAAGCCCAAGACUACCAGCUCUUGGAGUCACAACAACCUACUUCCUAGUUCUGAAGACAAACUCCCUACCAAAGCACUUCUCAACAGAUGCUCUGAUUCAGCACUUCCUUUUCCUGUUCCUAUAUCAGCAAUAGCACCUCUAACUACUGGAGACAUCAUUGCUUGGGAGCCAAAAUAUCCACACAACAAAAACAGAGACAAAACCAUGGUAUUAUUCAAGUCUAUUAGAUUACAAGACAGCGGAGAAAAUGAGAAUAUUUGCAUGAAACAGUCCAAAUAAUAAAGGUCAAUGGAUGAAUACUGUACUCACCCACCAUAGAAAAGAUCAUUGACAAAGACAUGUAGGAAAUAGCACACUUAGGUUCCAUUAGAGUCUGGAAGUGACACAUUGAAGUUUGUUCAGUUUUAUCCAAAUUCAAUUAUUUCCUUCACACAUAUGUGCAUCUUAACAAGCUUUAAUUUUGAGUGUGGAAGUUAUGCUAAAAUAACUGAAAAAACCCACUGGAAAACUAUUGAGGUUGAAAAAAACCAAACCACUGUUUUCUGUAAAGCAAGUUUGGAUAUAUUCACUCAAAAUCUACACUCCGUGUCCUAUGAAAGAAGCUUGAACACAGAAGUUUUCACCAGCCAUGUCUGAAUUAUAUUACUUACAAACACAACCAAUUAUUUGGCUGUUCCUCUAAAGCUAAAUUCACACUCCCAUUUAAUAAAAGGAAACACUAUUGCACUGGAAGAACCCUGCUGUUUAUCCUGCUUUUAAUUGAUGUCUCCAUUAUCUGACCUCUCAAAAAGGCUACAAAAGCAAACACCACUGUACAUGUUUGACUCACCUUCUCGUUCGCUGCCCAGGCUGAUUUACUGAUUGCAGUUGAAGAUUAGCCAACACUGAAGUGUAACUGAUGACAUUCUGUGUGAAUUAGGUUCCAUGCAGAGUCUGAGGAGCUGGAAAUGUCACACUGUUUGAGGAUGGCUCAGUUUUAUUCCAACUGAAGUAUUUCAUCCACACAUACACCCCAAUGCAUCACCUCCAGUGAGAGAAGUCACUUGGCCCAAGAUCAUUAAAGCCAACUGAGCUGAGCAUCUGUAGAGACUGCGAUCCCAAAUUUCAGCUACUGGAGUUCUUGGAAACUGUCAUCAAAAUAGGGGAUAUGCUUGUCUGACCUGGUGGAACAUAAGCCUGCCUUUUGAUCACCCAGUAGUUUUGGUUUUGGAGGUUUUACAGACUGCUACCCAACUGCAUAUCAUUAACAUCAUGGUAUAUGCUCCUUUCCAGCAUUGCACACUAGUACUGUUUAAAAAU